rnacentral:lncRNA from 1 species
CAGAGUACUGUCAACAGAAUACAAAGCGAUAGAAGGAUGAGGUCAAGGACCCAGGUGGAUGGAUUCAUCCUGGUGGAUGGUGGGGAUGGAGAAUGCAAGGGAGAAGACAAAUAGACAAGUCAAGGAUGCAGCAGAAGGAAGAUGAAGGACUCUCUGAUGGUCUUUCUUGUCUCCACCUGUGCUGCUCACUCCACGAACAAGGAUGGUGGCAGGAGUUGUGGCUAAAAUGAAGCCUGCUAAGGGAGCUGUGGCUGUUUGGGGAUUAGGCCAGAAGAGCUGGCUCCUGUGCUAUCGGGUGACAAGAUUCAGAGACAAGAUAGAAGCACCUUCCUCAUCUCCUGAGACCUAGUUGCCAACUCCACCGGAAAGUUACAGUUGCUAUGGUGACAGGCUACAUAAGGCACACUCAGCAGAAGUGCCAUUUAAAAAUAACUCCA